AAGUCGUAACAAGGUUUCCGUAGGUGAACCUGCGGAAGGAUCAUUAACACGUUUUACAACGUAUCAACCAACCGCGAACUCUUGUCGUCUUGCCAUGUUUUGGAAAUAGUCCCCAUCGGAAGUCACCACGCUGGCCGGAGAUGGGGAUGAAUGCUGCGCACUUUUGUCUUUCGGGGCAAAGGUGAGGCGGCACUUCCUUAACAUGUACAUUUAACCCAAACCCAUUUAUAAUUAUUAUUCUUGUCUUAAAAGGCGUGCCUUUAUGGCAAUGUCUUUUAUUACAAACUUGUACAACUCUUAGCAACGGAUAUCUUGGUUUCC
rnacentral:misc_RNA from 1 species